AAACCAACAGGGAUUGCCCUAGUAACGGCGAGUGAAGCGGCAACAGCUCAAAUUUGAAAUCUGGCCCUCGGGCCCGAGUUGUAAUUUGUAGAGGACGCUUUUGGCGCGGUGCCUUCCGAGUUCCCUGGAACGGGACGCCUUAGAGGGUGAGAGCCCCGUACGGUUGGACACCAAGCCUCUGUAAAGCCCCUUCGACGAGUCGAGUAGUUUGGGAAUGCUGCUCUAAAUGGGAGGUAAAUUUCUUCUAAAGCUAAAUAUUGGCCAGAGACCGAUAGCGCACAAGUAGAGUGAUCGAAAGAUGAAAAGCACUUUGAAAAGAGGGUUAAAUAGCACGUGAAAUUGUUGAAAGGGAAGCGUUUGCGACCAGACCUCUCUCCGGCGGAUCAUCCGGUGUUCUUCACUGGUGCACUUCGCCGGGGCAGAGGCCAGCAUCGGUUUCCGCGGGGGGACAAAAGCUCAGGGAACGUAGCUCCUUCGGGAGUGUUAUAGCCCUCUGCACAAUGCCCCCGCGGGGACCGAGGACCGCGCCCCCGGGCAAGGAUGCUGGCGUAAUGGUCGCCAACGAC
rnacentral:rRNA from 1 species